ACUCGAAGUUUAUUUGCACUGAUCUUCUGCAUUGCACUUUGCUGAUACGCCAGACAACCAUUGCAAUUAUCAAUAUGACAGGGAUUGCAAGGAUCAGGAUGGUGAGAAGGGAAGAUUUGUUGUGGGAGCGAUUAAGAAUUACACAGACCAGCUCCUGGACUAUGGAAAAGACACUCAAUAUAACCUCACACAAGCUCUUCUAUUCCUCUCUCAUUUUAUGGAAGAUGUACAUCAGGUGAGCAUGAUAAAGCACGAAAAUCACCAUAUACUAAGCUAGCAUCUGACUUCCAAUUUAGUUAUUGUAAUGGUUCUUUUGCAUGGUGAAUCUGCAACCUCUACAUGUGGGAUUUACCUCUGACAAAGGAGGCAAUUUAAUUAACAUUCACUGGUAUAGAAGGAAGCAAAAUCUUCACCAUUUAAGUCUAAUUCUCAGGUUCAUUCACUACUACUGUAUGAUCUAUUUCACCAUCUACUCUACUCACCAAUUUUUUGCUACACAGGUUUGGGAUUUCAACAUAAUUGAAACAGUCUAAGAAAGAUUUUAUGACUUAGACAUAAAUAGCUUCACCAAAGCCAUUCAAUAGAAUAUAACUUUAUUUUAUCCCAA